rnacentral:rRNA from 1 species
UACGUAGGUGACAAGCGUUGUCCGGAUUUACUGGGCGUAAAGAGCGUGUAGGCGGCUUUGCAAGUCCGUUGUGAAAUCUCGAGGCUCAACUUCGAGCUGUCGGUGGAAACUGUCUGGCUAGAGUCCGGAAGAGGAGAAUGGAAUUCCUGGUGUAGCGGUGAAAUGCGCAGAUAUCAGGAAGAACACCCGUGGCGAAGGCGGUUCUCUGGGACGGUACUGACGCUGAGACGCGAAAGCGUGGGGAGCGAACAGG